GCCCGAUUAGCCCCGCUGGUUAGAGCGUUGUACUAAUAUGAUCAUCUGUUUGAUGUUAUAUCUGGUAAAUGCGAAGGUCAACAGUUCAAUCCUGUUAUUGGGUA